rnacentral:rRNA from 1 species
UACGUAGGGGGCUAGCGUUGUCCGGAAUCAUUGGGCGUAAAGAGCUCGUAGGCGGUCUGUCGCGUCGGCUGUGAAAUCCCGAGGCUCAACCUCGGGUCUGCAGUCGAUACGGGCAAACUGGAGUGUUGCAGGGGAGACUGGAAUUCCUGGUGUAGCGGUGAAAUGCGCAGAUAUCAGGAGGAACACCCGGUGGCGAAGGCGGAUCUCUGGGACGUACUGACGCUGAGACGCGAAAGCGUGGGGAGCGAACAGG